CCUACGGGAGGCAGCAGUGGGGGAUAUUGCACAAUGGGGGGAACCCUGAUGCAGCGACGCCGCGUGGGUGAAGGAGUGCUUCGGCAUGUAAAGCCCUAUCGGCAGGGAAGAAGCAAGACGGUACCUGACUAAGAAGCCCCGGCUAACUACGUGCCAGCAGCCGCGGUAAUACGUAGGGGGCGAGCGUUAUCCGGAUUUACUGGGUGUAAAGGGAGCGUAGACGGCAGUGCAAGUCUGGAGUGAAAGGCGGGGGCUCAACCCCCGGACUGCUCUGGAAACUGUACGGCUGGAGUGCAGGAGAGGUAAGUGGAAUUCCUAGUGUAGCGGUGAAAUGCGUAGAUAUUAGGAGGAACAUCAGUGGCGAAGGCGACUAUCUGGCACAUAACUGACGCUGAGGAGCGAAAGCGUGGGUAGCAAACAGGAUUAGAUACCCGAGUAGUC
rnacentral:rRNA from 1 species